UAGAGGCUACUUCUGAACAGGUAAAAGGAUUCUUGUUGCUCUCAGUUCAAGUGAGCACUGAAGGAAGCAUUACAUUUAAAACUGUUUCGCAAGAGACUGAGAAAUAACUCGAUUGAAGGCGGGUUUGUAACGACCUCCAGCUAACAUGCCCUCACUGAACCUAAAAAUACGAUUUCUCAGGAUUCGCACUGCGCCCUAUACCAUUUCAAUGGCAUACGUUUCCUCAAAGAUAUUUUAAAAUAUGUCUUUGAUGGAAUUUAACGUGAUAUACUGAAAUGUUGCAAUUGCAGUACUCGUAACAAAUUAUUCAAGUUUCGAAUUGAACAUAAAUCGCAACUUGAACCUCUUAGACGACAAAUUCCUGAUCGGUUCUCGCACGGGGAACUGGAAAUUUUACAAAUUCUUUCGAAUUCUGUUUCCAUUUGGGACUUUGACAACGCCGCUUGAUAGCGUGACAAAUACAAGCUGAAUGGCAGUUUUAGAUGAGCUUGAGCCUUAACAAUUCAACUUUCCAGCGAAAAUGCAUCAGUUGAAAUUGUGAAUGAAAAAGAUAGUCACAUAUAAACUGCAUAGUGGAAGAAAAUGCACUCUAAAGUUUUAUGAAGUUGGAUCAUGUUUUGUUUGGUGUAUGAAGUCCAAAGUAACCAACAGCUAGAACUCCUUGGGCUCCUUGGAUAAACGUCAACAGAACUCAUUGCCGUGACUUGAGCGAUGUAUCAAUAGCUUUGUUAUGCAAAUAAAGUGGGGAGCAAUGGCAAACAUUGCCUGGGUAUAUCUUGCAAUCUAACAGCGUAGCCUUUUAUAAGAGGCUCAAAAAAUCAUUCACAACCCUCGAGGAAAAUAUGUCCUGUCAAUGUAUUCAUGAUCUCUCAGGCAUCUUGAGUGUAAUCAAGCAUGAACUUUGAUCUACAUUACAAUCGUUAAAAGUGGCCUCAAAUCGGUCAACAUUUUUUUGUCACAACAUUCAUUUCAAAGUAUUAUACUAAAGUCUUAAUGUCUUAUAGUGUUAAAGCACAGAAAGAGGCCCUUCAGCCCAUUGUCGCCGUUCAGUCAUCAAGCACCAAUCUUCUCAAAUCUUUUUUCUCAGCUCUUCGCCCGUAGACUUGCACGGCAUUUCAAGUGUUCAUGAAGGUAUAUUUCAAAUAACGUAAUGAUUCCAGCAUCCAACAUCAUUUUUACCCACCACCCUGUGCGUGAAAAAUAUU